UGGUGAUAAUGAGGACAACUAAUUAUUAAAGAUUUGAACCUGUCCCAAGCUUAGUAUAAAUUUUCACCUGAAUUCUGUUUAAAGCUUAUAUUCUCAGCUCUUAGCUU